rnacentral:rRNA from 1 species
UACGUAGGGUGCAAGCGUUGUCCGGAAUUAUUGGGCGUAAAGAGCUCGUAGGCGGUCUGUCGCGUCGGCUGUGAAAACCCACGGCUUAACCGUGGGCCUGCAGCCGAUACGGGCGAGCUAGAGUUCGGUAGGGGAGACUGGAAUUCCUGGUGUAGCGGUGAAAUGCGCAGAUAUCAGGAGGAACACCGGUGGCGAAGGCGGGUCUCUGGGCCGAAACUGACGCUGAGGAGCGAAAGCGUGGGGAGCGAACAGG